UGUGAGUGGUGUUUGGUUGUGCGAGUCGGCAGGCUCCGUGCUUAGAUGCAUCGAACUGUCGAGCCACACUCCUUUUCAUUCUCUACCCCUGCGAUCGUUUUGCCUCGGGGGUGCGAUCGGGAUCCUGUGCUGCAUACCUAAAUCGAUGGAAUUCGAAUGUCGUGCCAUCCUUCAUCCAUCCCGUGCCCUUAGGGGCCACGAGGUGGACCUCAGUCGUGCCUCGUGUUCCAAGCGUUCCCCCGAAUUCGGUGUGGGCGUGUUGGUGCAUCGGUGCUCGAUCGUGCUUUCGGAUGCGAAAAGUUUUGUGGGCGUGGGGUCUCGGCCUCAUUCGUUCGGUGCUAUGCGUUUUGUCCCUGGACACGUACGACGGUCGUGCCCCGUCUCGGCUCGCUCGUUGCCCAAGUGGCGCGUCGAGGCCCGUGCGGUGCCGACGUCGUG
rnacentral:misc_RNA from 1 species